rnacentral:rRNA from 1 species
GUCAAGUCAUCAUGCCCCUUAUGUCUUGGGCUGCACACGUGCUACAAUGGCCGGUACAAUGAGCUGCGAUACCGUGAGGUGGAGCGAAUCUCAAAAAGCCGGUCUCAGUUCGGAUUGGGGUCUGCAACUCGACCCCAUGAAGUCGGAGUCGCUAGUAAUCGCAGAUCAGCAUUGCUGCGGUGAAUACGUUCCCGGGCCUUGUACACACCGCCCGUCACGUCACGAAAGUCGGUAACACCCGAAGCCGGUGGCCCAACCCCCUUGUGGGGAGGGAGCUGUCGAAGG